AGUACAGACGUAGUUUGAUCCUGGCUCAGAACGAACGCUGGCGGCAUGCCUAACACAUGCAAGUCGAACGAGACCUUCGGGUCUAGUGGCGCACGGGUGCGUAACGCGUGGGAAUCUGCCCUGGGGUGCGGAAUAACUAGGAGAAAUUCUAGCUAAUACCGCAUAAUGUCUUCGGACCAAAGAUUUAUUGCCCUGGGAUGAGCCCGCGUAGGAUUAGCUAGUUGGUGGGGUAAAGGCCUACCAAGGCGACGAUCCUUAGCUGGUCUGAGAGGAUGAUCAGCCACACUGGGACUGAGACACGGCCCAGACUCCUACGGGAGGCAGCAGUGGGGAAUAUUGGACAAUGGGCGAAAGCCUGAUCCAGCAAUGCCGCGUGAGUGAUGAAGGCCUUAGGGUUGUAAAGCUCUUUACCCGGGAUGAUAAUGACAGUAUCGGGAGAAUAAGCUCCGGCUAACUCCGUG
rnacentral:rRNA from 1 species